CUCCCAACUUUUCUGCUAACAACUCAUGUCACAUUGCAUAAAGCUACUGAAACGAAACAAGAACAAAAUAUACAACCACGUCCAUGUACCAUAUGUACAAGAGAGCCCUCCCACCCCAUAUACAUCUCUGUGAACAAGAUUCCGUGCUUCAAAACUUCAUAAAAAUAUACAAUUUACCCAGGACUGCACCCGUUCUGCUCACCCCCUGCCUGGGGCCUAGAUUUUUUCUAUCUCUAUAUAAAAUGCAGUUAGCCCUGUAAAGAUGCUUUGCUGAGAGCACAGUGGUACUU